rfam:Triticum aestivum genome assembly, contig: Triticum_aestivum_CS42_TGACv1_scaffold_031040_1BL
CUUAUACUUCCUCCGUCCGGAAAUACUUGUCAUUGAAAUAAAUGUAUCUAGAUAUAUCUUAAUUCUAGAUACAUCCAUUUUCAUCCAUUUAUGCGACAAGUAUUUCUGAACGGAGGGAGUACCAG